ACCGCCUGGAACGUGAGAAUUGUACGGAGAGAAAACUAGUGCAAUGGUAUAUGUUUUUAAAAUUUCUUAAACAAACAAAACUAUAAUGCAUGUUGAGGCCAUGAUCGUAAAGUCCAAUCAAUACUCACAUUGCUAUUCUUUAUUGGACUCAAACCCAAUAGAGAAACCUACCUAACAAUUUUUUUUUGGCACGGUGUGGGCCAAAGGGCCCGACCCACACCAACAAACACAAAAACUCAACCGAGUCCCCCAUGGAUUCAACCCAACUUCAGAAAAACAAGCAUCCUCUUCCUAAUUACUACUUAAAGUUUUUGAGCUACAUUACAUGAUCAUGGAACUCACUAAUCCAUUUUGAAUACAUAGUUGACGCUUCUCUAUGUUUUGAGAUUUGGUUUCUUCUCAACUCCGCUAUUGAAGCACGAAAGGAAUAACUUCGAUAGUUGUGGCCUCCGCACAAGGCUCACGUUGCUGCCUCUCAAUGUCAGUUCAUAAGCCUCUCUCCCUUCUUCCCAGCAAGACUCUAAGAGUAAUAAAGAACUCUUGAAGACUCUCGUAUCCCCACCCUCAUAGGUUGGAUACAAGAGUCCAUGUAAAACCACUGCAUUGAAUUGUUCCUGCCAUCUUCCAUAUGUCCUCAAACAUCGGAUACACUUCAGCUAUUAGUGUCUUCGACUUGAUAGCUUGGUAACUUCCCUUCAUGAUCUCUAAACACCGCUGCUAUGGCUCCGCUUGCUGUUUCUCCCUGGAAUGUAGCAUUAGUGUUGCAUUUUAUCCAAUCUUUGGGUAAAAAAUGCCAGGUAACUUUUCUUUUUCCUCUUCUAAUGAUAUGGAGUGUUGCAUUUAAUUUAUCAAUUGUUUUUGCAUGCCCAUGCUCUAACAAUCUAGCUUUGAA